rnacentral:lncRNA from 1 species
UUUAGCUCAUAAGCUAACCUGUUCAGAUACAACAUACCAUAUGUAUUUUCUCUGUCUCAAACUCAAUCGCGUUGCUGUCACAGCACCAUUAGGUCUCGGUUGUUACCUUACGUUUAUGGAUUAUAGUUUAAUGUUCUUAUCUGGUACUGACCCCGACUCAGUACAUGCUAUCAUGACAGACAGUCAUCUCAACACUAGAGUCUAAUCAGAACUGAAAAACAGUCAGUCUGCUGUUGUGUCAGUCUUCUCGCUUCCACACGGGACGCGUCUUUUUUUCACCC